UUUAUCGGUUUUGGAUGGACUCGCGGCCUAUCAGCUUGUUGGUGAGGUAAUGGCUCACCAAGGCGACGACGGGUAGCCGGCCUGAGAGGGUGACCGGCCACACUGGGACUGAGACACGGCCCAGACUCCUACGGGAGGCAGCAGUGGGGAAUAUUGCACAAUGGGCGAAAGCCUGAUGCAGCGACGCCGCGUGAGGGAUGACGGCCUUCGGGUUGUAAACCUCUUUCAGUAGGGAAGAAGCGAAAGUGACGGUACCUGCAGAAGAAGCACCGGCUAACUACGUGCCAGCAGCCGCGGUAAUACGUAGGGUGCGAGCGUUAUCCGGAAUUAUUGGGCGUAAAGAGCUCGUAGGCGGUUUGUCGCGUCUGUCGUGAAAGUCCGGGGCUUAACCCCGGAUCUGCGGUGGGUACGGGCAGACUAGAGUGCAGUAGGGGAGACUGGAAUUCCUGGUGUAGCGGUGGAAUGCGCAUAUAUCAGGAGGAACACCGAUGGCGAAGGCAGGUCUCUGGGCUGUAACUGACGCUGAGGAGC
rnacentral:rRNA from 1 species